rnacentral:rRNA from 1 species
GACGAACGCUGGCGGCGUGCUUAACACAUGCAAGUCGAACGGAAAGGCCCUGCUUGCAGGGUACUCGAGUGGCGAACGGGUGAGUAACACGUGGGUGAUCUGCCCUGCACUUCGGGAUAAGCUUGGGAAACUGGGUCUAAUACCGGAUAGGAGCCAUCUUUAGUGUGGUGGUUGGAAAGUUUUUUCGGUGUAGGAUGAGCUCGCGGCCUAUCAGCUUGUUGGUGGGGUAAUGGCCUACCAAGGCGGCGACGGGUAGCCGGCCUGAGAGGGUGUACGGCCACAUUGGGACUGAGAUACGGCCCAGACUCCUCCGGGAGGCAGCAGUGGGGAAUAUUGCACAAUGGGGGCAAGACUGAUGCAGCGACGCCGCGUGGGGGAUGAAGGCCUUCGGGUUGUAAACUCCUUUCGCUAGGGACGAAGCUUUGUUGUGACGGUACCUAGAUAAGAAGCACCGGCUAACUACGUG